ensembl:lncRNA
GCUUUACAGCAUCUAUAAACAAGCGUGUGUUAUCAGCAUUCUUUUUCUGCUUGAAAAAAACAUAGCAUCACACCAGACACUCUGAAGAAAACAAUUCCCUCCUAGCUGAAACUCAGACAGCUACCUGUUGCAGUGCAUCACCAUGGGCCUUGUGCUGAAGCAGUGGCUAUAAGUUGGGCCCCAUGGUGCUGGAGUAGUGCUGGGAGAGCUGCAGUCUGUGGGAAGCCCACAUGGGAUCACUUUGGGAAGGAUGGCAUCUUGUGGGAGGAAGCUACGUGGAACAGAGAGUGACCAUGGAAGAGCUGCAAAGCCAAAGGGUUUUGUACUGAGCACAGCCCUCAUUCCCUGUUACCCUGUGGAGCUCCGUGGGAGGAGCUGACCCAUUUUGUGGUGGAAGAAAAAUUGUGAAAUUUGAGGAUCAAAUUCCAGAGCAUUCAACCACGGAAUUUUUGUAUCGUCUUUAAGGGAGGGUUAUUCAGCUCUGAGGCAGAAAUCCAGGUAUAUCACGGAUGAGUCAUGACAUCUUGUGAUGGUAGAAGAACCUAGUCAUGGGAAAUUCAGGCUCGGAACACCAAGUCAGCAAGGUGCUACUUGCCAUGAAAGAUUGCUGUUGCUUUUCUUCACUUUGCACUCAAAGUGCUACAGGAAAUCUCAAAGGAAAAAGGGGAAACUUCACUGGAUAGAUCUCCGCACUACAUACUUAAUAAGACACACUGUCUCUCAUACAUAUAAUUGAUGGUUCAAACAACUAUCCCGACAUUUCAGUACUGUCCUGUAGUUGCCAAGAAGCCUUUUUGUAAAUAUUUGCUUUUACAAAAAGGAUGUAGCCAAAUCACUUUUCAAGUUUCCAUGACUGCUGUUGUGUUUAAAGCAUUUUGAUUUGCUCUCUGUUUACAUCUGCUUUCAGUCUUUGUGUCCUCUCUUUUGAGAAUUCACUUCAUCUACUUUUGCUUCCAAAAAAAUUGAUUGGAAAUUUCAUAUUACAGUCUUUCUCUUAAAAUAAAUAAAUUACAAAAAGCAUCAUUCCAUUUCAUUUAGUCAGAUUUCUCACUUUUUCCUCUGAAAGGUUUGGAGGCUUAGGAUAGAGCUGCAGCAGAUGUGAAUAAGAGCUCCCAAGCCACCUAUGAUAAAAGAAACAAAAUUUAAACAUGCGGUUGAGUUCUUCCGAACAAGUAUCUGAAAGCAUUUUAUGUCAUUGCAUUUUUGGCACUUAAGAACAUUACAGUUGUCCCUAGGUACAUAGAUAAACACUAGCUGCGCAUUUUUACCUAUCCUUAAUUGUAAAGCAACUGCAAAGACUGAGAGGGUGAACCACACAAAAUUUUCACCUGCAAAAGUGCAUAUUUCUUCUGUUUCCCCCUAAACUGGACAGGUGCAUGCAUAUCAAUCCAUACCAACAGAUUCUGUCCCUGCCAGUUGUGCAUCUUGAGAGCUGCUCAAGGUUUCUUAAUAGCUUUUUCUUCAGAGGUGAAAAAUAAACAAGUAUAUGCAA